rnacentral:rRNA from 1 species
UGGGGAAUUUUUGGACAAUGGGCGAAAGCCUGAUCCAGCAAUGCCGCGUGUGUGAAGAAGGCCUUCGGGUUGUAAAGCACUUUUGUCCGGAAAGAAAUCCUUGGCUCUAAUACAGUCGGGGGAUGACGGUACCGGAAGAAUAAGCACCGGCUAACUACGUGCCAGCAGCCGCGGUAAUACGUAGGGUGCAAGCGUUAAUCGGAAUUACUGGGCGUAAAGCGUGCGCAGGCGGUUUGCUAAGACCGAUGUGAAAUCCCCGGGCUCAACCUGGGAACUGCAUUGGUGACUGGCAGGCUAGAGUAUGGCAGAGGGGGGUAGAAUUCCACGUGUAGCAGUGAAAUGCGUAGAGAUGUGGAGGAAUACCGAUGGCGAAGGCAGCCCCCUGGGCCAAUACUGACGCUCAUGCACGAAAGCGUGGGGAGCAAAACAGGAUUAGAUACCCUGGUAGUCCACGCCCUAAACGAUGUCAACUAGUUGUUGGGGAUUCAUUUCCUUAGUAACGUAGCUAACGCGUGAAGUUGACCGCCUGGGGAGUACGGUCGCAAGAUUAAAACUUAAAUGAAUUGACGGGGUCAUAGCUGUUUCCU